CCGGUUUUGCAGCGUACUCUCUGGAGUGACGGGUACACUGUGGGGACCGCCGCUGCUAAAGCGGAGGAAGGAAUGGGCAACGGUAGGUCAGUAUGCCCCGAAUGUCCCGGGCUACACGCGGGCUACAAUGGUUGGUACAAUGGGUAUCUACCCCGAAAGGGGAUGGAAAUCUCCUAAAGCCAAUCUUAGUUCGGAUCGAGGGCUGCAACUCGCCCUCGUGAAGCUGGAAUCCGUAGUAAUCGCGUUUCAAUAGAACGCGGUGAAUACGUCCCUGCUCCUUGCACAAAA
rnacentral:rRNA from 1 species